rnacentral:rRNA from 1 species
AGAGCUUGCUCUCUGAUGGCGAGUGGCGAACGGGUGAGUAACAUAUCGGAACGUGCCUAGUAAUGGGGAAUAACUAAUCGAAAGAUUAGCUAAUACCGCAUACGACCUACGGGUGAAAGCAGGGGGAUCUUCGGACCUUGCGUUUAUUAGAGCGGCCGAUAUCUGAUUAGGUAGUUGGUAGGGUAAAGGGACCUACCAAGCCCGACGAUCAGUAGCUGGUCUGAGAGGACGAUCAGCCACACUGGAACUGAGACACGGUCCAGACUCC